rnacentral:rRNA from 10 species
CACCAGGUUGAUUCUGCCUGACGUGGACGCUUGCCUUAAAGAUUAAGCCAUGCAAGCCAGCGAAGGUAACGGAGCGGCGAACGGCUCAGUAGGACAGGGUUAUCUGACCACCGAACAGGAUAACCGCGGUAAUCUGUGGCUAAUACGUGUGUGGGUGAGACUCUGCCCUAUCAGCUUGGGGGUACGGUAAGUGCGUACCCUUGCGACGACGGGUAACGGGAAAUCGGGGUUUGAUUCCGGAGAGGGAGCCUGAGAGAUGGCUACCACGUCCAAGGAUGGCAGCAGGCGCGGAAAUUACCCACUUGGAGGACCAGAGGUAGUGACGAGGCGUUUUUAAUGAGAAUAGUGUAAAAAGCUGUUCGAAAGCAACUGGAGGGCAAGUCUGGUGCCAGCAGCCGCGGUAAUUCCAGCUCCAGGAGCGUCUGCGUGUGUUGCUGCGGUUAAAGAGUGCGUAGUCGGGUUAUUUGCCAGCAAUAAAGGUGCAGUCUCUAACUGUAUAUUGUGCUGGUACUUUGAUCUAGGAACUGGAUAAAGGUUAUGGUAUUCGACAGCGAGGGGUGAAAAUUAAUGACCUGUUGAGGAGCGACUGAUGCGAAAGCGGUAAUCUAUGACGGGUUUGACGAUAAAGCGCGUAGGCAGGAGUAUCGAAGGCGAUUAGAGACCGUCGUAGUUCUUUGCAGUAAACGAUGCCAACAGGAAUGCAAGUGCUGUGUUCCUAGGGAAACUGAGUGUAUGGGCUCUGGGGAUAGUACAGGCGCAAGCUAGAAACUUGAGGAAAUUGACGGAAGGACACCACAAGGAGUGGAGUGUGCGGGUUAAUUUGACUCAACGCGGGACAACUUACCAGGGUAUGUGACAUUGAGCGAAGAGCAUGGAUGCGAUCUGUGUUCUGAUGAUGUUACGUGUGGUGCAUGGCCGUUCUUAACACGUGGGGUGACCUGUCUGGUUAAAUCCGAUAACGCGUGAGACCCUGGAUAAUGACGAUACUUGACAAGAGUAGGGAAGCUCGGGUCGAUAACAGGUCUGUGAUGCCCAUAGAUAUUUUGGGCGCCACGCGCACUACAUUGGGGAUGGUUACGUGAAACGGAACAUCCUUUCGGUUGGGAUUGACGUUUGUAAAUACGUCAUGAACUCGGAAUUCCUAGUAAUUUGUUGUCAUUAACGACAUAUGAAUAUGUCCCUGUUCUUUGUACACACCGCCCGUCGUUAUCUAAGAUGAAUGUGCGGAUGAAGUUGGUUAGGUCAAAAGAAUCCGUGCGAUUAGAUUGGAUACAAGUCGUAACAAGGUUACUGUAGGAGAACCUGCAGUAGGAUCAAUA